rnacentral:rRNA from 1 species
GUAGAUGCCUACAACAUAGUGUUAAUGUAUUGAAUCCCAUUAGAACUUCGUACUUAAGCACGCUCGGGCUAGAGUAGUACUGGGAUGGGUGACCGCCUGGGAACUCCUAGUGUUUUACA